GAUGAACGCUAGCUACAGGCUAACACAUGCAAGUCGAGGGGAAACGAUAGAGAAAGCUUGCUUUUUCUAGGCGUCGACCGGCGCACGGGUGAGUAACGCGUAUCCAACCUGCCCACCACUUAGGGAUAACCUUGCGAAAGUAAGACUAAUACCCAAUGAUAUCUCAAGAAGACAUCUGAAUGAGAUUAAAGAUUUAUCGGUGAUGGAUGGGGAUGCGUCUGAUUAGCUUGUUGGCGGGGUAACGGCCCACCAAGGCGACGAUCAGUAGGGGUUCUGAGAGGAAGGUCCCCCACAUUGGAACUGAGACACGGUCCAAACUCCUACGGGAGGCAGCAGUGAGGAAUAUUGGUCAAUGGGCGAGAGCCUGAACCAGCCAAGUAGCGUGCAGGAUGACGGCCCUAUGGGUUGUAAACUGCUUUUAUAAGGGAAUAAAGUGAGCCUCGUGAGGCUUUUUACAUGUACCUUAUGAAUAAGGACCGGCUAAUUCCGUGCCAGCCGCCGCCGUAA
rnacentral:rRNA from 1 species